rnacentral:rRNA from 1 species
GACGAACGCUGGCGGCGUGCUUAACACAUGCAAGUCGAACGGGCCCGCCCCUGUUUUUGGGGGUGGGUUGAGUGGCGAACGGGUGAGUAUCACGUGAGUAACCUGCCCCCUGCUCCUGGAUAACUGCUUGAAAGGGCGGCUAAUACGGGGUGUGCCGGCUGGUCCGCAUGGGCCUGGUCGGGAUAGUUUCAUCUUCGGGUGUUUCGGUGGGGGAUGGGCUCGCGGCCUAUCAGCUUGUUGGGGGGGUGAUGGCCCACCAAGGCGGUGACGGGUAGCCGGCCUGAGAGGGUGGGCGGCCACACUGGGACUGAGACACGGCCCAGACUCCUGCGGGAGGCAGCAGUGGGGGGUAUGGCACAAUGGGCGGAAGCCUGAUGCAGCGACGUCGCGUGAGGGAUGGAGGCCUUCGGGUUGUGAACCUCUUUCUCCGGUGGUGAAGGCCCUGUCCGGUGCGGCGGGGUUGACGGUAGCCGGGUAUGAAGCGCCGGCUAACUACGUG